rnacentral:rRNA from 1 species
UACAGAGGUGGCAAGCGUUGUUCGGAAUUACUGGGCGUAAAGGGCGCGUAGGCGGUUCGAUAAGUCCCGUGUGAAAUCCCUCGGCUCAACUGAGGAACUGCCUUUGAAACUGUCGGGCUUGAGGCCGGGAGGGGGUAGCGGAAUUCCCAGUGUAGCGGUGAAAUGCGUAGAUAUUGGGAGGAACACCGGUGGCGAAGGCGGCUACCUGGACCGGUUCUGACGCUGAUGCGCGAAAGCGUGGGUAGCAAACAGG